rnacentral:tRNA from 1 species
GGGGGCGUAGUUCAGCGGGAGAACGCCGGUUUUGCAAGCCGGAUGUCGAGAGUUCGAUUCUCUCCGCCUCCA